rnacentral:lncRNA from 1 species
UGCCUCGCAUUACCGACACAUCUCCAUUUCGGAGGCUCUUCAAGCAGCUCGAAUCGAUGCUCCUAAUGCAGCACAUCACCCUGCCUUGAAAAGCAAUGGAAGGGUCCUUAGCUUUGGCAUAGAUGCACCCAUUUGUGAUUCCAUGGCCUCUGUCUUAAACCUUGGGGAGAAAAAGGUUUUGAAUGGUGCCCGAAAUGGAUUUCAUGGUCUUGAAGAACAAAGAGUUUCGGUUCCAAACAGAAGGGAAAACGGUGAUGAUUGCUCGAGUGGAUCUUCUAUCACGGUUUCAAACUCAAUGGAGGAAGGUGGUAGAAGUUGCAUUCAGGAAAAUAGGAUGGGCAACAUUAAUGGCUUCCCUUCACCAAUUCCUUGUUUACCUGGUGUUCCUUGGCCUUAUCCAUGGAAUUCCGCGGUGCCUCCACCGGCAUUUUGCCCAUCCGGAUUUCCCAUGUCAUUCUAUCCUGCUGCAGCCUAUUGGAACUGUGGGAUUCCCGGCACUUGGAACGUGCCUUGGUUGUCUCCUCAGUCAUCAUCCA